UACGUAGGGUGCGAGCGUUGUCCGGAAUUAUUGGCGUAAAGAGCUCGUAGGCGGUGUGUCACGUCGGCCGUGAAAACCUGCAGCUUAACUGUGGCGUGCGGUCGAUACGGGCAUCACUGGAGUUCGGCAGGGGAGACUGGAAUUCCUGGUGUAGCGGUGAAAUGCGCAGAUAUCAGGAGGAACACCGGUGGCGAAGGCGGCAUCCUGGACCGGUAUUGACGCUGAGGCGACGAAAGCUAGGGUAGCAAACGGG
rnacentral:rRNA from 1 species